CGUAGCAGCGGUCGGACACGAAGCUCCUUGCUCGACUUUCGAAUCCUUCCCCUCCAUUCCAACCCUGAAUUCACCACCUUAUCGUGUUCCAUCCCUACGAUGGCGACGCCCAGCGUCGAUUCGGUGCGCACAAUUUCAUCCCCGACUCGGAGAUUCGUCUUCCUGUGGACGCUUGCACGCUCGUCGAAAUAUAGUCGAUUCAUGUGAUUGAAACCAGUGUAUUAACGUAAAAUUAGUGAUGUGUUAAGGAUAAAUUUGCAUCAUUAUUGGAUCGCAUAAAAUGGUGCUGAGGGGGAGAGGAGAGAACGAAGGGGAAGAAACACGAGGGGAGAAGAAUGAAGUCGCGGGACGGCCAGGGAAACGAGAGGAAAGGGAAAGAUGCCGGCUGGCAAGCAGAUGGUUGCCCCGUUUAUUGGUUUAUUCGUUGCUUCAGCCAUGACGUUCUGUCCGGCCAUGAAACAAGCCGGAGAUUCUCCUUGUGUUGGGAAGCAUCAUACAACGAGGUUCAUACGAGGCAUACGAAUGCUCUUCGUAUUAAAACAUUGACGUACUACUUAUUUACAUUGUAGCAACUACAUAUGAUGACCGGCAACAUAGUUACUUUGCAUCUACAAAUAGGUUUUACAGGUGUUAUUGCAAACAUCUGCUUAUUUUGCAUCUGACGUUCUUCUCUUACGGCUGUUUUACAUAUAAGUGAACGAGAUGUAAGAGCGGCUUUUUGACAGCAUGCAGACGUAAGCGAAUAUUAUAUUCAGUAAUGGCGUCUUGGGGGCGGAUGAAAUGCUCGGGUCGAUAGAAGGCUUGUCUACGAAACCCAUAUACUCUUUCAUCUUAUUGUCAAUGAUCAUCCCCACCUACAAUGACCUUUUCUACGAUUUCUCCCCAGGGAUGUAAUCCACAGCUCUAAGUAUGAUCGAUUAUGCUCGAAAGAAGCAACAUGACCAAGUAACCUGGAAAUGAAAGGUACAUCGACACGCGUACAGGAAUAAAAGGAGUUGUACCGCUAAGAAGACGAAGAAGAAGAAGAAGAAGGAGAAGAAGAAAACCAAGGAGAAUGCGACCUUGCUACAUUCAGCUGUGUCAUCCUUGAGCCGUUAACGCUCAGGUGGUUUCGAUCCCAGGAACGAGCAUCAAUCAUCAUCGGUAGUGCAGGUGUAAUGUGAUCAUUGUCACCGAGAUAACCCAGUACGAUAUUCACUUACGAAACGUGUCAAGUGACAUAACAGAGUUUAUCUAUAACAGCAUAUCUGAAUACUGAAAGAAUCGCCUCCAAUGUUUGUGCCUUUCGAUAGCACAUUAUUUGUUAGGGCAGGUCUUUGACUCGAGUAAGAGAGGCAUUACGAAACAAUCGUCCAUAUAUGUAUUGCAGAUUUUACGCGCAAAGUUAAGAUUGCAUAUGCCUCUACAUACGCCGUUAUCUGUUUUGCAUAACUUUACGAUUUACAUAAUUUAUAACAGUAUAGAAUUUUUUUAUCGUUUUUUAUAAGAUUUUCUUUAAUAAAAAAAUGAAUUAAGGCUAUUAGAUUUGUUAAGAUAUGCAUGUCAGAUAAAGAUUGAUAUUAUAUUUGUAUGAAUAACGAAACAUAACACAAAAUCUUGCAUUAUAAAAUAUGCAUUGCACAAUAUUAUCAAGUGAGAAAUGAGCAAUCAUUAAAACUAAAAGAGAUAGUGAAAAU